GCCAUAGCCGCCUCCCGCAACCAACUCCCUCCCUUAGAUCUCGAUCCGCUGCCGGCCCCAACCACCCCCCACCGCCACCGUAGACGAGGUCGAGGCUGACCCAAGAUCGAGUCCAUGCCCAGACUCGCGAUGGGCGUAGCGGGGAUGGGAUCCCAUCCCAUCCCGCUCCUCCUCCUCCUCCUCUCAGACUCCACCAAUUCCUCCCCAAAUCCAGCCGCCCACCGAACUCCUCUCCCCAACCCCACCGCCACCGGCGACCUCGUCUCCACAGCCCCACCGGCGACCUCCCUCCAUCCCUCCAUUCGUCGAGGGCGCCCGAAACCCUAGCCCCACUCCUCCCGCGCGGACGGGGCGACGGAGAUGGCCAAGGAUGCCGCAGAUCCGGCAAUGACGGCGCCGGAAUCCGCACCCAACCGCGGUGGCUGCUACACCAGCAUCACGAGACGGUGAUGGGGGGUCCCUAGCCCUUGAUGACGGCGAGGUAUGAGAUGGGAUGCAGCACCAAGACGCCCGGGUACGCCCUCCUCCUUCCUUCCUCAUCUCAUGUGCCUGCAGAUUCUCCUCUCCUCUCAUCUCAUGUGCCGCUGCUUGUUUGCUUCUUUCCGUGGGCACUGGGCAAACCCGACCUUUUCUUUCUCUCUGCGCCCGACCACGGCCACGGCAAUGGCAACGGCAAGGGGAACCCGACCGGUGAUGCGUUCGUUCGCAGCCUCACAAUGUUCAGCUUACUGAAGACAAACUUCCUCAAGAGGUCCGUGUAUUGCUCGAUGACGCUGUUGUUGCAACAUCGUCCUCCUCGACCACAACUACCACGCCCGCGUCUCUGACUUGGGCACCGCCAAGGUCCACCACAACUGUAGAAACGUCCUCCUCGACCACAUCCACGCGGGGCAGAAGGAGUGAACUGCUACUUGUAUCUGGAAUGGAGCUCUUGCUUUAGAUAGCAUGCAAGAAUUUCCCUCACUCGCGUCAUUUAUGUUCCAAAUUGCCCUUCAGCACCACUACUCACCCGAAGAAUUGUGUAAUGUGCUAAUGUUAUGUGUGUGAUGCUCCAGCUCCAUGCAAGCACUGGGGCAAAGGGCUCUGUCAAGCAGGUCUCUGUGAUGAUAUGAUGUGGUGCUUAUCUUUUUUCGUUGCUGGAACCUGGAUGUCAUAUGUUAUGUGAUCUGAGCCAUAUGGCAUAUUGGAAUCUUUUUAUUUCCAGUUUUAUGUACGAUGUCAUGAAGAUGUAUGUUUGAAAUGUUGUUUUGACAGCAAAAUUGUAUUCAUGUGUACAUUUUGCUUUGACAGCAAAAUUAUGAAAUUUCUCAACAAUAUGUAU
rnacentral:rRNA from 1 species